rnacentral:rRNA from 1 species
GGUCGGUUUGGCCGGAUUUCACACAGGUGUUGCAUGGCUGUCGUCAGCUCGUGUCGUGAGAUGUUGGGUUAAGUCCCGCAACGAGCGUAACCCUCAUCCUUAGUUACCAUCAGAUAAUGCUGGGGACUUUAAGGAAACUGCUAGUGAUAAACUGGAGGAAGGUGGGGAUGAUGUCAAGUCAUCAUGGCCCUUAUGGAGUGGGCUACACACGUGCUACAAUGGUGGCUACAAUGGGCUGCAAAGUCGCGAGGCUGAGCUAAUCUCUUAAAAGCCAUCUCAGUUCGGAUUGUACUCUGCAACUCGAGUGCAUGAAGUUGGAAUCGCUAGUAAUCGUGGAUCAGCAUGCCACGGUGAAUACGUUCUCGGGUCUUGUACACACUGCCCGUCACG